rnacentral:lncRNA from 1 species
GAAGGUUCCAGGCGGGGAAUCGACGUUGGUUAACAGAACAAGUGAAUACAGCCUGCUGCCUCGUCUGGCCACGUGGCAGAAAUCCGAGGACGCGGCGGAUAAAAUUAUGUACAUCAUCGAGUGCGAGAUGAGAGGGUGCCGGUACACUCUCGGCUUAGGCGAGCCAAACCUCGCCGGGAAACCAAACCUCGAAUACGACGCCGUUUGCAAACCACACGAGCUCCACUCUCUGAAAAAGAAC